GCUCGGCUGUGCGUGUUCAUCUGUGGCUAUCUACUAUAGUCGACGCUGGUACCGAAGUGGUUAAUAUAUGCUCCAGUAUUGUAAAAUAUUGACAUGUCUUGGUGUGUGUUGUCAGUAAUAAUUAUGGUUAUUAUGUCAAUUUCUGUAUGUCACAAAAAUAACCAAUUUGGUUUGUCAAUUAUCUAUAACCAUGGCUAGUCCAUGUUUUAUCAUCUUUAGAAAAUUAUUAUUUUACUUUGAUUCAUCUCAGAAAGUGGUUCUUUCUGGCUAAGUCCAAAGUUGGCUUCUUCAAGUAAAGUCAUGGAAAGGACUGACAAAUCCACUUGAAUACUGGUUUCUGAUAACUUCGGAGAUGAUGUACCACUGGACUAAAAAAUAAAACAAACUUCCAGGACUUUAAUUAGAAAACUGAUAUGACCAUGAGUAUAGCUAACUCAACCUCAUGAGAAAGAACUAAUUUUUCACAAAAAGACUCCAGAGUCCUGACAAAUUUUAAGUAAAUAGCAAGUUUACCUGAUCUCUGGGACCUAGAACCAUGGAAUCUGCCAAAGUCCUGUUCAAAUAUCCUCCCUGUAGGCCCAGGGACUAUUGCAGAAGAGGGGUCAUAUGAGACUGUAAGGGGUGAUUCCAAGGGAUGAAAUUAGUUUAGACCCUCGAGAUCAAGGAGGAGCAUACAGAAGCCUAAAGGAAUACUAACUGACAUGCUUUGUCUUUUCAUGCCACAUGCUGAAAAUAUCCGUCCCAAUCAUAAAAUUCUUUUCCUGCUUCCUACAGACUUAGAACUUCCUGAAUAUAAUUUUUCUUACUUAUGGAUUUAUACAAAAGGAGAUAUAAUGAGCAAUUUAUCAGCCACCUUAGUAUAAAUUACUAAAGAGACUAAAAUAUUGUGACACAAUAAAAUUAUCUAAAUUCCCUUGGUUUAAAUGUUAAUGAUGCUCAUAUUUGUUACAAGUGUACCACUAAACCCAAGUAGUAGCUCAACAUUAAAGAUAAAUUAGUUCUGUAGCCUUGCCUUUGACAUUUUGGACUUUACUCUUAUGUCAUCUAGAAGGUUUUAAAAUGUUGAUGAGUGCCUGCCUAUCUCCAGUCUUAUUUGGCCUAAAAUAUUUAAUUGGCUCUAAGCCCCCUUUCAGCUCUUCAGUCCACUUGGCCACAAGGGUCCCAAUGACAGACUGGAUGGACCACCCUGGCAAUGGAUGGGACAAAACAAGAGUUUGGACAUAGAUGCUGCCUCUGACAGAUCUUGGCCAAAAACGGGGAAUUGUGAACUAAAAUAAAAUCUUAAGCUUUUUUUGCAACGGGUUUGCUGCCAGAACACCAGUGCUAUGAAAACCACCCAUAAAAGGCAAAAUGGGGAAGAAAAAGACUCACAUCAACAUCUUUGUCAUUGGACAUGUAGAUUCAGGCAAGUCUACCACUACUGGCCAUCUGAUCUACAAAUGUGGUGGGAUCUACAAAAGAACCAUCAAAAAUUUUGAGAAGGAGGCCACUGAAAUGGGAAAGGGCUCCUUCAAGUACACCUGGGUUUUGGAUAAACUGAAAGCUGAGCGUGAGCGUGGUAUCAACAUUGAUAUCUCCCUGUGGGAAUUUGAGACCAGCAAAUAUUAUGUGACUAUUAGUGAUGCCCCAGGACACAGAGACUUUAUCAAAAACAUGAUUACAGGCACAUCUCAGGCUGACUGUGCUGUCCUAAUUGUUGCUGCUGGUGUUGGUGAAUUUGAAGCUGGUAUCUCAAAGAAUGGGCAGACCCGUGACCAUGCCCUUCUGGCUUACACACUAGGUGUGAAACAGCUAAUUGUUGGUGUUAACAAAAUGGAUUCCACUGAGCCACCCUACAUCAUGAAGAGAUAUGAGGAAAUUGUUAAAGCAGUCAGCACUUACAUUAAGAAAAUUGGCUAUAACCCUGACACAGUAGCAUUUGUGCCAAUUUCUGGUUGGAUGGUGACAACAUGUUGGAGCCAAGUGCUAGCAUGCCUUGGUUCAAGAGAUGGAAAGUGAUCGGUAAAGAUGGCAACACCAGUGGAACCACACUGCUUGAAGCUCUGGAUUGCAUCUUGCCACCAACUCAUCCAACUGACAUGCCCUUGCAUCUGCUUCUCUAGGAUGUCUACAAAAUUGGUGGUAUUGGUACUGUCCCUGUGGGCCGAGUGGUGACUGGUGUUCUCAAACCCGGCAUGGUGGUCGCCUUUGCUCCAGUCAAUGUUACAACUGAAGUAAAGUCUGUUGAAAUGCACCAUGAAGCUUUGAGCAAAGCUCUUCCAGGGAACGAUGUAGGCUUCAACAUCAAGAAUGUGUCUGUCAAAGAUGUUCGUUGUGCCAACAUUGCUGGUGACAGCAAAAAUGACCCACCAAUGGAAACAGCUGGCUUCACUGUUCAGGUAAUUAUCCUGAACCAUUCAGGCUACACUCUUAUACUGGAUUGUCAUACAGCUCACAUUGCCUGCAAGUUUGCUGAGCUGAAGGAAAAGAUUGAUUGCUGCUCUGGAAAGAAGCUGGAAGAUGGCCCUAAAUUCUUGAAAUUUGGUGAUGCUGCCAUCAUUGAUAUGGUUCCUGGCAAGCCCAUGUAUGUUGAGAGCUUCUCAGACUAUCCCUCUCUGGGUCAUUUUGCUGUUUGUCAUAUAAGACAGACAGUUGCUCUGGGUGUCAUCAAAACAAUGGACAAGAAGGCUUCUGGAGGUGGCAAUGCCACCAGAUCUGCCCAGAAAGCUCAGAAGGCUAAACGAAUAUUAUCCCUAAUAUCUGCCACCCCACUCUUAAUUAGUGGUGGAAGAAUGGUCUCAGAACUGUUUGUUUCAAUCGGCCAUUUAACUUUAAUAGUAAAAGAUUGGUUGUUAAUAACAAUGCAUCAUAAAAUCUUCAGAAGGAAAGGAGAAUGUUUUGUGGACCAUUUUUGUUUCUGUCUGUGUGGCAAUUUUAAGUUACUAGUUUUUAAAAUCAGUACUUUUUAAUGGAAACAACUUGACCAAAAAUCUGUCACAGAAUUUUGAGACCCAUUAAAAUAAAGUUUAAUGAGAAAAAAAAA